CGGGGCGCCCGCACUCCGGGUCUCCAGCUGCACCUGGGCGCCUGAGGACCUACCUUCCUGAAGUGGCCCUAAACGCCAAUCCAGUGGCAUCUGGAGUUAGUCGGGGACCUUCUGACCUUCAUGUAAUUGAGGCUUAGAACAAUAUGAUCUGGGAAAAAUAGGGGGAUGACCAGAACAGAAUUGGAAAACAGAGGGUUUCUAAUUAAUCAUCCAUCAAAAGGCUCUGCCAUUUGAAUUUGAAUUGUAGAUUCACUAAUUAAAGAAAUCAAGUCAAGUUCCUAGACAAUGAGAAAGGACUGACGAGUCCGUGAAUGGAAGGCCGUCACAGUCUAGGGGUGAAACCGCUGGUUCAAACAGAACACACCAUCCAGGGAUGAUACUCAACGUCUCCUGGCUCGGAGAAGCAGGCCCUGCCUGGAGGGGAAACCCAAUCCCCGUGGCCUGAGUUGUCCUGAAAGACCGGUGGCCACUGUUGUGAGCAGGUGAAGAGCAGAGGGUGACACCAGUGAUAAGGCAGUGACUUGAGUCGCAGGGGAACCCAGGAGCAGUUUCACGUGGCCUCUUUUUCUGCAACUCUAUUUCGGCUUUUUUGAAGACCAGCUCCUUCCCACCCUUCAGGUCUCAGCUCAAACACAUCACUUCCUUCGAAAUGAUAGAACUGACACCCUUCCCUAAAAGGGCUAUCAGAAGUACCACCUCAUUCAUCUCUAAUUAUGUUGUCAAUAUUUCAAGAGGGUGAGGAUUUCUUCAUGGAAUCCUCAGUGCCUGAAACAGUGCUAAGCAGGCAGAGCAUCUUUUUGGCUAUCAUUAUUCCACUGAAGAACAAAAAAUUAGUAUCAGCAACCUGCUAAGGACUACUUAUUUUUCCAGUGGGAAAAUGUCUUUACCAAUACUACAACCAGA